CUCGGCACCACCAUACGCACCCAUCGCUCCAUUCCUCCCCAGAUAAUUUCCAGGGCUUGGUUUUGUAGCGGUAGAUUCAGAAACCAGACCCACAUGGAAAGCCAUGCUUCUUGUGAGGAGGUUGUGGGUGACUCUGAGCUCUUGGUUAAAAAAAUGGCUGCUAUUUG